rnacentral:lncRNA from 1 species
CCUUUUUAAACAGGAAGUACAAAAUAAAAUGAAAAAGGGAAAACGAAUGAACAAACCGAUCAGAAAAUUUCCUAUCGACAACUAUGCUAGGUGAACCACAGUCCUUAAUAUCAGUAUCUUCCAGGUGACAGAAUAUGGCAACAUAAGGUGGCAUUAGUUUCCCUCCCUUAUUGUUUAGUGUCCGAACCUUAUUAGAGUGGGUAAAAGUCCCACAUUAGUUGGGGAAUGAACUGGUGGUUUGCUUAUAUGGACUUGGACAAUCCUUUCCUUUUGAGCUAGCUUUUGAGGUUGAGUUAGGCCCAAGAUUCAUUCUUGACAUGGUAUCAGAGCCAGGUCCAUCCCCGUUUUGGGUUUCCGGUCCACGCGCCAGUGCCAGUUGGGCCUGGGCGUGAGGGGGAUGGGUGUUAGAGUGGGUAAAAGUCCCACAUUGGUUGGGGAAUGGACUGGUGGUUUGCUUAUAUGGACUUGGAUAAUCCGGACUGGUGGUUUGCUUAGAUGGACUUGGACAAUCCUCCCCUCUUGAGUUAGCUUUUAAGGUUGAGUUAGGCCCAAGUCUUGACAAACCUGACAUCCCUUGGACCUCACAACUUUUUUAUACAUCAGAAUUUUGAGGUUGAGUUAGGCCCAAGGUCCAUUCU